AACCAGCUCUUCAAGUGGUCGGGAUAAUUAUUGGGCUUAAAGUGUCCGUAGCCGGUUUAGUAAGUUCCUGGUAAAAUCGGGUAGCUUAACUAUCUAUAUGCUAGGAAUACCGCUAUACUAGAGGGCGGGAGAGGUCUGAGGUACUACAGGGGUAGGGGUGAAAUCUUAUAAUCCUUGUAGGACCACCAGUGGCGAAGGCGUCAGACUGGAACGCGCCUGACGGUGAGGGACGAAAGCCAGGGGAGCGAACCGGAUUAGAUACCCCGGGUAGUCCUGGCCGUAAACGAUGCAUACUAGGUGAUGGCACGGCCAUGAGCCGUGUCAGUGCCGUAGGGAAACCGUUAAGUGUGCCGCCUGGGAAGUACGGUCGCAAGGCUAAAACUUAAAGGAAUUGGCGGGGAGCACCACAAGGGGUGAAGCCUGCGGUUC
rnacentral:rRNA from 1 species